UACAGAGGUCUCGAGCGUUGUUCGGAUUCAUUGGGCGUAAAGGGUGCGUAGGUGGCGUGGUAAGUCUGGUGUGAAAUCCCGGGGCUCAACCCCGGAACUGCACUGGAUACUGCCAUGCUUGAGUACUGGAGAGGAGAUCGGAAUUUACGGUGUAGCAGUGAAAUGCGUAGAUAUCGUAAGGAAGACCAGUGGCGAAGGCGAAUCUCUGGACAGUUACUGACACUGAGGCACGAAGGCCAGGGGAGCAAACGGG
rnacentral:rRNA from 1 species